rnacentral:rRNA from 1 species
UUGCCUCGGCGGGAUCUCUGCCCCGGGUGCGUCGCAGCCCCGGACCAAGGCGCCCGCCGGAGGACCAACCAAAACUCUUAUUGUAUACCCCCUCGCGGGUUUUUUUUAUAAUCUGAGCCUUCUCGGCGCCUCUCGUAGGCGUUUCGAAAAUGAAUCAAAACUUUCAACAACGGAUCUCUUGGUUCUGGCAUCGAUGAAGAACGCAGCGAAAUGCGAUAAGUAAUGUGAAUUGCAGAAUUCAGUGAAUCAUCGAAUCUUUGAACGCACAUUGCGCCCGCCAGUAUUCUGGCGGGCAUGCCUGUCCGAGCGUCAUUUCAACCCUCGAACCCCUCCGGGGGGUCGGCGUUGGGGAUCGGCCCUCCCUUAGCGGGUGGCCGUCUCCGAAAUACAGUGGCGGUCUCGCCGCAGCCUCUCCUGCGCAGUAGUUUGCACACUCGCAUCGGGAGCGCGGCGCGUCCACAGCCGUUAAACACCCAACUUCUGAAAUGUUGACCUCGGAUCAGGUAGGAAUA